GGUUAAGCGACUAAGCGUACACGGUGGAUGCCCUGGCAGUCAGAGGCGAUGAAGGACGUGCUAAUCUGCGAAAAGCGCCGGCGAGGUGAUAUGAACCCUUGACCCGGCGAUGUCCGAAUGGGGAAACCCAGUGCAAUCCGUUGCACUAUCGUUAACUGAAUACAUAGGUUAACGAGGCGAACCGGGGGAACUG
rnacentral:rRNA from 1 species